AUGCAGUCGAGCGGAACGAUGAUAGCUUGCUAUCAGGCGUCGAGCGGCGGACGGGUGAGUAAUACUUAGGAAUCUACCUAGUAGUGGGGGAUAGCACGGGGAAACUCGUAUUAAUACCGCAUACGACCUACGGGAGAAAGGGGGCAGUUUACUGCUCUCGCUAUUAGAUGAGCCUAAGUCGGAUUAGCUAGAUGGUGGGGUAAAGGCCUACCAUGGCGACGAUCUGUAGCUGGUCUGAGAGGAUGAUCAGCCACACCGGGACUGAGACACGGCCCGGACUCCUACGGGAGGCAGCAGUGGGGAAUAUUGGACAAUGGGGGAAACCCUGAUCCAGCCAUGCCGCGUGUGUGAAGAAGGCCUUUUGGUUGUAAAGCACUUUAAGCAGUGAAGAAGACUCCGUGGUUAAUACCCACGGACGAUGACAUUAGCUGCAGAAUAAGCACCGGCUAACUCUGUGCCAGCAGCCGCGGUAAUACAGAGGGUGCAAGCGUUAAUCGGAAUUACUGGGCGUAAAGGGAGCGUAGGUGGCUCUAUAAGUCAGAUGUGAAAUCCCCGGGCUCAACCUGGGAACUGCAUCUGAAACUGUAGAGCUAGAGUAUGUGAGAGGAAGGUAGAAUUCCAGGUGUAGCGGUGAAAUGCGUAGAGAUCUGGAGGAAUACCGAUGGCGAAGGCAGCCUUCUGGCAUAAUACUGACACUGAGGCUCGAAAGCGUGGGUAGCAAACAGGAUUAGAUACCCUGGUAGUCCACGCCGUAAACGAUGUCUACUAGUCGUUGGGUCCCUUGAGGACUUAGUGACGCAGCUAACGCAAUAAGUAGACCGCCUGGGGAGUACGGCCGCAAGGUUAAAACUCAAAUGAAUUGACGGGGGCCCGCACAAGCGGUGGAGCAUGUGGUUUAAUUCGAUGCAACGCGAAGAACCUUACCUGGUCUUGACAUAUCUAGAAUCCUGCAGAGAUGCGGGAGUGCCUUCGGGAAUUAGAAUACAGGUGCUGCAUGGCUGUCGUCAGCUCGUGUCGUGAGAUGUUGGGUUAAGUCCCGCAACGAGCGCAACCCUUGUCCUUAGUUACCAGCGGGUUAAGCCGGGAACUCUAAGGAUACUGCCAGUGACAAACUGGAGGAAGGCGGGGACGACGUCAAGUCAUCAUGGCCCUUACGACCAGGGCUACACACGUGCUACAAUGGUAGGUACAGAGGGCAGCUACACAGCGAUGUGAUGCGAAUCUCAAAAAGCCUAUCGUAGUCCAGAUUGGAGUCUGCAACUCGACUCCAUGAAGUAGGAAUCGCUAGUAAUCGCGGAUCAGAAUGCCGCGGUGAAUACGUUCCCGGGCCUUGUACACACCGCCCGUCACACCAUGGGAGUUGAUUGCACCAGAAGUGGAUAGCUUAACCUUCGGGGAGG
rnacentral:rRNA from 1 species